rnacentral:rRNA from 1 species
CUCCAGACUCCUACGGGAGGCAGCAGUGGGGAAUAUUGCACAAUGGGGGAAACCCUGAUGCAGCGACGCCGCGUGAGCGAUGAAGUAUUUCGGUAUGUAAAGCUCUAUCAGCAGGGAAGAAGAUGACGGUACCUGACUAAGAAGCCCCGGCUAACUACGUGCCAGCAGCCGCGGUAAUACGUAGGGGGCAAGCGUUAUCCGGAUUUACUGGGUGUAAAGGGAGCGUAGACGGCGAUGCAAGCCAGAUGUGAAAGCCCGGGGCUCAACCCCGGGACUGCAUUUGGAACUGUGUGGCUGGAGUGUCGGAGAGGCAGGCGGAAUUCCUAGUGUAGCGGUGAAAUGCGUAGAUAUUAGGAGGAACACCAGUGGCGAAGGCGGCCUGCUGGACGAUGACUGACGUUGAGGCUCGAAAGCGUGGGGAGCAAACAGGAUUAGAUACCCCAGUAGCC